rnacentral:rRNA from 1 species
UACGUAGGGGGCAAGCGUUGUCCGGAUUUAUUGGGCGUAAAGAGCUCGUAGGCGGCUUGGCAAGUCGGGUGUGAAAACUUCAGGCUCAACCUGGAGCGGCCACUCGAUACUGCUAUGGCUUGAGUCCGGUAGGGGACCACGGAAUUCCUGGUGUAGCGGUGAAAUGCGCAGAUAUCAGGAAGAACACCCGUGGCUAAGGCGGCUCUCUAGUACGGUACUGACGCUGAGACGCGAAAGCGUGGGGAGCGAACAGG